rnacentral:rRNA from 1 species
AUUGAACGCUGGCGGCAGGCCUAACACAUGCAAGUCGAGCGAGCGGCGGACGGGUGAGUAAUGUCUGUGAGACUGCCUGAGGGAGGGGGAUAACGACUGGAAACGGUAGCUAAUAACGCGUCCCAUCAGAUGUGCACAGAUGGGAUUAGCUAGUAGGUGGGGUAACGGCUCACCUAGGCGACGAUCCCUAGCUGGUCUGAGAGGAUGACCAGCCACACUGGAACUGAGACACGGUCCAGACUCCUACGGGAGGCAGCAGUGGGGAAUAUUGGACAAUGGGCGAAAGCCUGAUACAGCCAUGCCGCGUGUGUGAAGAAGGCCUUCGGGUUGUAAAGCACGUUCAGCUGGGAGGCGUUACCCGCAGAAGAAGCACCGGCUAACUCCGUGCCAGCAGCCGCGGUAAUAC